rnacentral:other from 1 species
AGCUCCCUGGGUGGAUCGUGAUUCUACUGCGUCCCUGAGCCGAUGUUUACCUUUAGGAGGCAACUCGCAUUGCUGGCGCGCAUGUCCGCUUGACGGAAAGCCCAACGCUUUACAGAUGCCACCACCUUGAACCUUAGGGUUCAAGGACCAUGUUGAUAGCGUCCAUUCGGGGAGCUC